UGAACGGAAAGCUUGUGUUAGGGGUAAACAUACGGACAAUGAAAUAUAUUUCAUUAGUCCUUUUAAAUAACCCUUGGGAAGGUCUGAGAAAAACUAAAACUAAUCAAGUCUCUAACUGGGACAUUCAUGAGAGUGAGUAAUGAAUAACCAGAAAUGAUAUCCUCUUUGAUUCAAAAUAUGAAGUUUUAAAAACUGAUUUUAAUUGGAUCAAUUGAGUAUUUAAACAUGAUUCAUUAGUGGAAGUUCUAUGAAGCGCAAUACACAAGACAUCACAAUAUUCGUGAUAUAACUCAAUUCAGACUACUCUUCCGUUCG
rfam:Rhizophagus irregularis DAOM 181602 strain DAOM 197198 GLOINscaffold_14318_Cont14275, whole genome shotgun sequence.